CCCCUAGAUGUUCUGGGCCGCACGCGCGCUACACUGAACAGUUCAACAAGUCUUAACCUUGGCCGAUAGGUCUGGGUAAUCUUUGAACGCUGUUCGUGAUUGGGAUAGACCUUUGCAAUUAUGGGUCUUCAACGAGGAAUUCCUAGUAAACGCAAGUCAUCAGCUUGCAUUGAUUACGGCCCUGCCCUUUGUACACACCGCCCGUCGCACCUACCGAUUGAAUGGUCCGGUGAAAUCUCGGGACGGCGGCUUGGUCGCUUGCGUCCGACUGCUGAAACUUGAUUAAACCAUAUCAUUUAGAGGAAGGUGAAGUCGUAACA
rnacentral:rRNA from 1 species